rnacentral:rRNA from 2 species
GCGUUUUAACACGGGAAGGCGUAGGAAAUACACGCAAGUCGAGCGGACAGAAGGGAGCUUGCUCCCGGAUGUUAGCGGCGGACGGGUGAGUAACACGUGGGUAACCUGCCUGUAAGACUGGGAUAACUCCGGGAAACCGGAGCUAAUACCGGAUAGUUCCUUGAACCGCAUGGUUCAAGGAUGAAAGACGGUUUCGGCUGUCACUUACAGAUGGACCCGCGGCGCAUUAGCUAGUUGGUGGGGUAAUGGCUCACCAAGGCGACGAUGCGUAGCCGACCUGAGAGGGUGAUCGGCCACACUGGGACUGAAACACGGCCCAGACUCCUACGGGAGGCAGCAGUAGGGAAUCUUCCGCAAUGGACGAAAGUCUGACGGAGCAACGCCGCGUGAGUGAUGAAGGUUUUCGGAUCGUAAAGCUCUGUUGUUAGGGAAGAACAAGUGCGAGAGUAACUGCUCGCACCUUGACGGUACCUAACCAGAAAGCCACGGCUAACUACGUGCCAUCAGCCGCGGUAUUACGUAGGUGGCAAGCGUUGUCCGGAAUUAUUGGGCGUAAAGGGCUCGCAGGCGGUUUCUUAAGUCUGAUGUGAAAGCCCCCGGCUCAACCGGGGAGGGUCAUUGGAAACUGGGAAACUUGAGUGCAGAAGAGGAGAGUGGAAUUCCACGUGUAGCGGUGAAAUGCGUAGAGAUGUGGAGGAACACCAGUGGCGAAGGCGACUCUCUGGUCUGUAACUGACGCUGAGGAGCGAAAGCGUGGGGAGCGAACAGGAUUAUAUACCCUGGUAGUCCACGCCGUAAACGAUGAGUGCUAAGUGUUAGGGGGUUUCCGCCCCUUAGUGCUGCACUACGCAUAAGCACUCCGGCCUGGGGAGUACGGUCGCAAGACUGAAACCUCCAAAGGAAUUGACGGGGGGCCCGCCCAAGCGGGGGAGCAUGUGGUUUUAUUUCCGAACCCACGACA